rnacentral:lncRNA from 10 species
CAGCGUUCGCCUCUCAGCCAAGUCCAAUAGCACUCACUUAGGUGUGCAUCUGUGGCUUUCUCUCUGUCUGGUCAGUGCUCCUUUAUAUGUCCAUACCCCCUGCCAGAGGGCAGCAUUGACGGUGUACAGAGCCCAGUGUGACUCUCCUGCAGCUGGGGACAUAGAAGAGCUCUGUGACGAUGGCAGAUGUGGUUCUCCAGCCUCUUGCCUGGCUGCCAGUGGGAGUAGCCUGUCUGUUCUGGCACAGGGGGCUGUUCCAUAUGGAGGGUCAGAAACUGGCCUUCACAGCCACCCAGGCGUUCCUUCCACUUCUGCACGUCUUCCUUUCCCCAUGAAGAUUUGGGUGUACCCUGGUUGUGGUCUCUGAAGACUGGGCAGGCCUGUACUUUGUGAAGCUUUCAGCUGUCUCUGGUAGGCCUGAUGAAGCCUAUCUGCAGAGGUUGGCCUGAAGCCAUAAUGAGCAGUUCUGUUCUUUUUAGCCCUUGUCUAGUUUAUGGCUCUGUUGCAGACAUGCCUUUCUGUGUCUUGGUUAAAAGUACUGGUGUGUCUUUGCAUUUAGGUGUGGUCUGUGAGUCUGGGAAGGCUUCUAGAGGAGAGCCCUCCAGGGUUGCUCUUUGGGGUGGGAGUAGUGGGAGCGGAAAUGGAACGCUGACUGCCCUCUUAAAGCCAGAAGGGUACUUCAUUCAGGGCAGGCAGUUGGCAUGUGUAGGCACUCAGGAGUCUUCCUUCAGUUUCAGCGGCCGGUGUUCAUCAUCAGGAGUGGCAGGGUUGGAUAUGGGAGUGAGAAUGUGCCUCUGAGAUUGACCAGUGGCCAUAGACUCCAGCAAGAUGUGCAUCUUGGUCUGAGAGGCACCCACUGUACCAGAAACCAGACUUGUAUCGACCAAUGGCUUAUUAGCCCCAGGAGGCUUAUUACUGCCACAAAUGUCCCUGAUGGUGAGCAGCACUUGGCCACUACUGUCUGAUGUUAACCAGAGUUAUGGGGGUGGUUUCUGCAAAUACACAAUACUGUGGAGGGGUUAUGUGGCUUACCCAGAGGUGCCCAGAUAGCAAAUGAAGGUGUAAGAUUGGAAUCCCUGUCUUUCUGGUUGACCCUUGGCUUGGCUAAUCAUUCAUUCAUUCAUUCCACACACAUUGAUGAAUGCCGACUCUGUACUGGGUUCUGUUCUAGGAACUAGACAGACACAUCACCUAUGCUGCUCUUGUGGGGCUUCUGUUCCGCUGGGGGAGACAGUCAGUAGUAAGCCUUCAAGCAAAGGCAUGGCUGCUGGUGUGAUGAGUGCCAUGAAGACCCAUAAGGCUGCGUUAAAGGAGAUGGGUGGUCCAGGAAGGCCUCUCUGAGGAGGUGGCAUUUGAGCACUCAAGUGCCUUACACUGGACUUCUGACCCCAUGAGCUGGAACUUAGGAUAUCUGAUCUAGAAGUACCUCUAGAAGUCCUCUUCCCAAUAAACAAGCUAAGGCCCAGUGAGCUUAAGGUGUGAAUUCAUGGGAUGAUUCAUGGGAAAGAUGAAAUUAAACCCAAGAAGGACAAGUAUAAUAGCCGGCCACUGCUCUGCUCACACCAGCCUUGGGCUCCAGCCCUCUGCCUUUUCAUCCCAGAAUGUGUUUUAUUAUCUUCAAGACUCAGCCCUUUGAAAGAUUUAGACUUCCAAAUUGCAUUUAUUAACAAUAAUACAUUUAUUUUCUCAUGGCUGGGUGUGGGGAGGGGGUAGAAAUUUUAAACACAUUUGUGACGGUUGAUCAGCCCUCCAGGUAAGGCAACGGCUGACUGCCUGGAGCUGGUGUUUUUCCUGCCUAGGCGGAGACACCGCCCAAUUUUGUACCACCAGCUGCCGUCACUGUCAGAGUGGAAUUUCCAUUGGUGUUUCUGAAAUAGCAGUGUUUCCUGGAGGACCCCCAUUUGUACUUUCUGGAUUCCAUCUGGACCUGGUUUAGGGGGUUAGAUGCUUUUGAAUGGGGGCUGGAGAGACCCUACUGAUGCCUCUGACCAGAGAUGGUGAGGCAGGACUCACAGGGCCCCCAGGGUUUAUUUUAGGGAGAGAGAAGCCCACAGUUAAAUCAGAGGUCACAAAUACAGCAGCAGACCCCACCUCUCCCAAGGACCAGACUGAGCUAUAAUUGGCCAAUAAUUUCAUCUAAAAGCAGGAAUCCUACAUCAAUUUGAAAGGAGCUUCUGGCUGAAGUAAGACUUUAUUAAUUAGCCUGUUAGGAAAAUAGUUUCCCAGUAUUAUGAGGGCUGGAUAAUUUCAUGCCCACUGUUUUUCUUGAAGCUUCUCAAAGGCAGACACAGCCGCGUGCAGCGGCUCACGCCUACAAUCUCAGCACGUUGGGAGGUCGAGGCAGGUGGAUCACGAGGCCAGGAGAUCGAGACCAUCCUGGCCAACAUGGUGAAACCCCAUCUCUACAAAAAUACAAAAAUUAAUUGGGCGUGGUGGUGGGCGCCUGUAAUCCCAGCUACUCAGGAGGCUGAGGCAGGAGAAUCAGAGGUUGCAGUGAACCGAGAUUGUGCCACUACACUCCAGCCUGGCCACAGAGCGAGACUCAGAAAACAAGGGAAGACACUAGAUUUUCAUUUUUGUACUAAAUAGAAAAAGUAAUAUCUUUUUAAAAAUGUGUUUUGUUUGUUUUUAACUGUUUGUUCAUGCCAAUGUGCCAGGCACCAUAUUUAUUCUUUAAUCUAUACAGAAAUGCUGCUGGAUGAAUGGAAUUAUGCUCACUCUGCCAAUGAGGGAACCAAGGCUCAGAAAGGUUAAGUAACCAACCUAAGGUCAGGUAGUACUGAGGAGCUGUGCUUGGAUACAAAACCAGGUCAUCCAACCUGGAAUCUUAGCUUUGACCCCCAACCUUCUCCCGGCAACUUUGAUGAUAAUAUGGAAAUACCUUAGACUCUUGACUUGACUUUACUUUCUCUUCUCUGUUAUAAAAUCUGCUACAUUUCUUUUCCUGGGAAAGCGAAAUAGAUUAUGCCAAAAGUUCUGAUUUUUAAAAAUGUUUUAUUGUGGGCCGGGCGCAGUGGCUCAUGCCUGUAAUCCCAGGACUUUGGGAGGCCGAGGUGGGUGGAUCAUGAAGUCAGGAGAUCAAGACCAUCCUGGCCAACACAGUGAAACCCCAUGUCUACUAAAAAUACAAAAAUUAACUGGGCUUGGUGGUGCACGCCUGUAAUCCCAGCUACUCAGGAGGCUGAGGCAGGAGAAUCCCUUGAACCUGGGAGGCGGAGGUUGUAGUGAGCCGAGAUUGUGCCACUGCACUCCAGCCUGGCAACAGAGCAAGACUCCGUCUC